UGGGGAAUUUUGGACAAUGGGGGAAACCCUGAUCCAGCCAUCCCGCGUGUGCGAUGAAGGCCUUCGGGUUGUAAAGCACUUUUGGCAGGAAAGAAACGUCGCGGGUUAAUACCCCGCGAAACUGACGGUACCUGCAGAAUAAGCACCGGCUAACUACGUGCCAGCAGCCGCGGUAAUACGUAGGGUGCAAGCGUUAAUCGGAAUUACUGGGCGUAAAGCGUGCGCAGGCGGUUCGGAAAGAAAGAUGUGAAAUCCCAGAGCUUAACUUUGGAACUGCAUUUUUAACUACCGGGCUAGAGUGUGUCGGAGGGAGGUGGAAUUCCGCGUGUAGCAGUGAAAUGCGUAGAUAUGCGGAGGAACACCGAUGGCGAAGGCAGCCUCCUGGGAUAACACUGACGCUCAUGCACGAAAGCGUGGGGAGCAAACAGGAUUAGAUACCCUGGUAGUCCACGCCCUAAACGAUGUCAACUAGCUGUUGGGGGCCUUCGGGCCUUGGUAGCGCAGCUAACGCGUGAAGUUGACCGCCUGGGGAGUACGGUCGCAAGAUU
rnacentral:rRNA from 1 species